GUCUCUUGUUCUUUUGCACUUAGCCGAGAAAAUCUUUCGCCUUUUACUAAAGAUUUCCGUGCAAGAGAACAAUUUAUGAGUAUACUCUAAUUUUUGGAGUCCCGUCUUCGGACGGGAA
rnacentral:snRNA from 1 species